rnacentral:lncRNA from 1 species
CUGAACUUUUGAACAAAAUUGAAGAGUCCAGCUCUUUUUUCUUGCCAGAAGAAUAGUCCUGGGCUUAGUUUCAGAAGGUCUCAGAUCACUGGCAGUCUUUCUACAAGAGUACUCCCAGGUAUAUUUCUAAGCAAUGUCCUUUCUCUUGUUGGGGGACGUUGGAGAACUUUUCUUCUUGGUGCCAUAUCAGCUUAAGGCUGGACUCAAAUACUGAAAUGCUCUGUCACUCAUCUUUGGCUCUCUAUCAGUUGUGCUGAGGCUCCACAGGAGGACCAGAUUUCUGUCACAAACCAGCAAUGGAAAACCAGGAUCUCAUCUACAGCUCAUACUUUUCAGCUUGUAUCAGACAACAGUGUUCCUUCACCAAGAUCUUAGGCAGAAUUUUCAGUUGCAGCAAAAGCCUGGGCAAAGGUCUUCCUCAGGUAGUAGACCUUAAGAGCUGUUAUAACUCCUUGAUCCAUUGGUUGGAUCAAAGAGGUGCUGUUUGGAGGAAGAAACACUGCUUUGAUAUUGGGAUGAAGAUCAUCAACCAAAGAAGCACGUCCAAGAGCAUUAUGGACAAUUAACGAAAUCUUGAAAGAUCAGAGCUACGAGUAACGCAUUGUGCUACAACAUUAUGACAGCUAUGAAGUCACUAGGCAACAGGAAUUUUUCAGCUCCACUACAAUCUUAUGGGACCACCGUCGUGAAGGCGGUUCGCUGUUGACUGAACCAUUAUGGGGUGCAUGACUGUAUUGACUUUGAGCCCUCAUCUUCAAGAUGAGGAAGCUGAUCUACCCCAUUGGAUGAACCAACCAGGUAGGGCUAGAACUAUAGUUCUCAUUUCCUGCUUCUCAUCCACCCACGACGGUUUCUAAAGACUGUUGGAGCAAACCCCUCCCACUAAGGGAAAUGAAUUCUGCUGUUAUUAAGAGAGAAGAGUUGUCUGAUCUAGAAAUUAACAUGAAGCAUUACUGAUUUGGAGACAUCUGGAAAUCUAGAAUAGAUAAAUCCUUGAAAAUGAAGGAUUUUUUUUUGCACAUCUAUCUUUCUGCUUGACAGUUAAAAAAAUCAAAGUGAAAAUCCAACUUAAUGCUGUUCAUAUAGAUUAUGCAUAGAGCAUAAAGUAUGUACUACAAAAAGAAACUUCUAUGUCUCCUGAAACUACUCAAUUCACUAUGCGAUCUCUGCCAACAAAGUAUCAGGUCCUAGAUAAGCAAUUCCACCCAGAUUUUGGAGGCAAUACUAUUUAAUUUAAUUGUAAUCUUUUCACCAAAAG